UACAGAGGGGGCAAGCGUUGUUCGGAAUUACUGGGCGUAAAGGGCGCGUAGGCGGCCUGCUAAGUCGAACGUGAAAUCCCUGGGCUCAACCCAGGAACUGCGUCCGAUACUGGUUGGCUUGAAUCCGGGAGAGGGAUGCGGAAUUCCAGGUGUAGCGGUGAAAUGCGUAGAUAUCUGGAGGAACACCGGUGGCGAAGGCGGCAUCCUGGACCGGCAUUGACGCUGAGGAGCGAAAGCCAGGGGAGCAAACGGG
rnacentral:rRNA from 1 species